rnacentral:rRNA from 1 species
UACAGAGGUCCCAAGCGUUGUUCGGAUUUACUGGGCGUAAAGGGUGCGUAGGCGGUGGGGUAAGUUUGAGGUGAAAGCUCCGGGCUCAACCCGGAAAAUGCCUUGAAAACUAUCCGGCUAGAGGGUUGGAGGGGAGACUGGAAUUCUCGGUGUAGCAGUGAAAUGCGUAGAUCUCGAGAGGAACACCAGUGGCGAAGGCGGGUCUCUGGACAACACCUGACGCUGAGGCACGAGAGCCAGGGGAGCAAACGGG